GGGACGACGAAGGAACCCCAGCCGGCGGUCGCCGCGAAGGAGCUUCUCCCGGAGCAUGCUGCGAAGAGAAACGGGACGGGUGGCGCGUGCCCGCCCCCCUCGUGGCGGGAAUCCGGCUUGGGGUGGAUCACCGACCCGCGAGGUGAUCUUGUAGGCGGCGGAUGCCAUUCGACGAUCCAAGAAGGCCCAACACUUGGAUGCCCCUCGGUGGAGUCUUGUCGGACGUCCCGAUGUUUUCUGAAAGAGAAAUCGCCAUGGCAGACUUGCAACCACUUCAGGAGACAACAAAAGUAGCCGCUUGUGUGGUAUGCUACAGCAACGGAGACUGUCCAGUCUGAAAGGGAGACGUUCCAAACCUUAUUUUGACUCUUGUGUACUCGUGACAGUGAUGACAAAACUAGCAGCCUCUAUGUCUCCUUAGAUAUCGUUUGCUGUAUCGGUUUAACUGGGUGGAGCACAAAAGAAAGUCUUCGAAUGAGCUGCUACUUUCUUUCAGUCAACAACUGCGGCUGUUUUCAGUGUAGUCUUGUGUUCUCCAACUAUGUCAUGAAGUAAAGCGUGCAUCUUCACCAUGAGGUUGUGGUUGUACUUGGCAUUCAUGAGAUUGUAGCACAAC